rnacentral:rRNA from 1 species
AUUGAACGCUGGCGGCAGGCUUAAUACAUGCAAGUCGAACGAGUGGCGGACGGGUGAGUAAUGCCUGGGAUUCUGGCCGAUGGAGGGGGAUAACUACGGGAAACUGUCGCUAAUACCGCGUACCAUAGGAUGAGCCCAUAUGGGAUUAGGUAGUUGGUGGGGUAAAGGCCUACCAAGUUGACGAUCCCUAGCUGGUCUGAGAGGAUUACCAGACACACUGUGAAUGAGAGACGGCCCAGACUCCUACGGGAGGCAGCAGUGGGGAAUAUUGCACAAUGGGUGCAACCCUGACGCAGCCAUGGCGCGUGAAUGAAGAAGGCCUUCGGGUUGUAAAGUUCUUUCGGUGUAGAGGCGUUACAUGCAGAAGAAGCACCGGCUAACUCCGUGCCAGCAGCCGCGGUAAUUC